rnacentral:rRNA from 1 species
UACGGAGGGUGCGAGCGUUGUCCGGAAUCACUGGGCGUAAAGGGCGCGUAGGCGGCCUGAUAAGUAGGGGGGUGAAAUCCUGCGGCUUAACCUUGGGCGUGCGGGCGAUACGGGCAGACUGGAGUACUGCAGGGGAGACUGGAAUUCCUGGUGUAGCGGUGGAAUGCGCAGAUAUCAGGAGGAACACCGGUGGCGAAGGCGGGUCUCGUGGGCAGUAACUGACGCUGGAGGAGCGAAAGCGUGGGGAGCGAACAGG